GAUGAACGCUGGCGGCGUGCCUAAUACAUGCAAGUCGAGCGAACGGACGAGAAGUUUGCUUCUCUGAUGUUAGAGGCGGACGGGUGAGUAACACGUGGAUAACCUACCUAUAAGACUGGGAUAACUUCGGGAAACCGGAGCUAAUACCGGAUGAUAUUUUGAACUGCAUGGUUCAAAAGUGAAAGACGGUAUUGCUGUCACUUAUAGAUGGAACCGCGCUGCAUUAGCUAGUUGGUAAGGUAACGGCUUACGAAGGAAACGAUGCAUAGCCGACCUGAGAGGGUGAUCAGCCGCUCGGGAGCUGAGACGCGGACCAACCUCGGACGGGAGGCAGCAGUAGAGAAUCUACCGCAGUGGGCGAAAGCGUGACGGAGCAACGCCGCGAGAGUGAUAAGGGUCUUCGGAUCGUAAAUCUCUGUUAUUAGAGGAGAGCAUAUGUGUAAGUAACUGUGCACAUCUGGACGGUACCUAAUCAGAAGGCCACGGCAAACUACGG
rnacentral:rRNA from 1 species